rnacentral:rRNA from 1 species
AAACUAGCAUAUCAAUAAGCGGAGGAAAAGAAACUAACAAGGAUUCCCUUAGUAACUGCGAGUGAAGAGGGAAGAGCUCAAAUUUAAAAUCUGGCAGUCCACUUGGCCUGUCCGAGUUGUAAGUUAGAGAAGUGCUAUCCGCGUCGGCCUGUGCAAAAGUCUCUUGGAAAAGAGCAUCAUAGAGGGUGACAAUCCCGUCUUUGGCACAGACUACCGAGGCAUUUGUGAUGCGCUCUCGAUGAGUCGAGUUGUUUGGGAAUGCAGCUCUAAAUGGGUGGUAAAUUCCAUCUAAAGCUAAAUAUUGGCGAGAAACCGAUAGCGCACAAGUACCGUGAGGGAAAGAUGAAAAGAACUUUGAAAAGAGAGUCAAACAGUACGUGAAAUUGUUGAAAGGGAAACGCUUGAAGUCAGUCAUGUUCUUUGGAAAUCAACCUUUACUUCUUGUUGGGUGUAUUUUCCAUUUGGACAGGUCAGCAUCAAUUUUGACUUUCAGAUAAAGACCUUGGGAAAGUGACAUUAUCUUACGAUAAUGUGUUAUAGACCUUGGUUCAGAUAUGAUAGUUGGGAUUGAGGAACUCGAAGGGUGCCAUCUGGCUGCUCUUUCUAGGAUGCUGGCAUAAAUGGCUUUAAUCGACCCGUCUUGAAACACGGACCAAGGAGUCUAACGUGCAUGCAAGUGUUUGGGUGGAAAACUCAAGCGCGUAAUGAAAGUGAAAGUUGGGAACCUUGUCGUGGGGUGCACCGACGCCCGGACCUGAUCUUUUGUGAAGGACCUGCGGUAGAGCAUGUAUGUUGGGACCCGAAAGAUGGUGAACUAUGCCUGAAUAGGGUGAAGCCAGAGGAAACUCUGGUGGAGGCUCGUAGCGAUUCUGACGUGCAAAUCGAUCGUCGAAUUUNGGNAUANGGGCGAAAGACUNAUCG